UCUAUUGCAGUAUUAUUAAUUUGUUGGGAAAACUUCAAAUAACAUCUCCGUGGUUUCGCACUUUCUUACUUUAGUACUCUGUGGUUUAAAGUGUAUUACUUUCAUACUCUGUGAUUUUAUUUUUCUCUUUUUGUUAUUCUCUCCGCUAAUUUUUUUCGUUAAAUCAGUAACAAAGUUAAAACUAAAGAAUACUAAAGUGAAUAUUUGAUAAACUAUAGGUGGGGUAUUUGAAGUUUUUUUUUAUAUGAUUUAACGAAAAGUUAACGGAGUGACUGACGAAAAGAGAAAAAUGAAAUCACUGGGCACUAAAUUGAUACAUUUUAAACCACAGGGUAUAAAGUAAGAAAGUGCGAAACCACAUAGAUGGUAUUUGAAGUUUAUCCUUAUUUGUUUCAAUGGACAAGUUAGCAAUGCAUAUCUAAAUAUUUAAUUCAAUUGCCAAAAUGCAAGGAUGAUUCCUUACUUAUAUGACAAUAAACCUUAAAUUUUUAAGAAAAUAUUAUUUAAUAAAUGAGAUAAUUAUUUAAAUAUAUUAGUGUGUAAUAUUAUAUAUAGGGAAAGUG
rnacentral:lncRNA from 1 species